ACGCUGGAGGAGCGCCACGACGAGCCGCCGGAGCCGCCGGCGCAGAAGCCGCAGCCGGAGCCGACGCACGUGUCCGUGGUGCAGGUGGAGCCGGAGCGAGAGCGGUCGCCGGACGCGGGCUCUGCGACGGCGCUCUCGCCCUUCACGUCCAUCACACUGCAGGGCACCACUGUGGGCAGCUCGGACGUGGACCACUUGGCGGAGGAGACCAGCCUCUCCCCCGGACACAGUCCGCUGCCGGCCCGGCCGGCUUCGGGCGGCAGCAGCCGGGACAGUGACGUCAGCAGUCUGGCCCCGCCCACCGAGGGCGGCUCACUGGGCAGCGCGCCCGGCAGCCACUCCCCUUCUGCCGGGGCGGACGGCGAGGAAGUGCAGCUGCGCCGCAAACGGCCCGCACCGCAGCCCCAGGAUGCGUCCAGUGACAGCGGCUCGCGCUCGUCCUCGGCCAGCCGCGGCCGCC